rnacentral:rRNA from 1 species
GUAUAUGUCUUCGGAUAUAGAGACCGGCGCACGGGUGCGUAACGCGUAUGCAAUCUACCUUUUACAGAGGGAUAGCCCAGAGAAAUUUGGAUUAAUACCUCAUAGUAUAGCUCUACCGCCUGGUAGUACUAUUAAAGUCACAACGGUAAAAGAUGAGCAUGCGUCCCAUUAGCUAGUUGGUAAGGUAACGGCUUACCAAGGCAACGAUGGGUAGGGGUCCUGAGAGGGAGAUCCCCCACACUGGUACUGAGACACGGACCAGACUCCUACGGGAGGCAGCAGUGAGGAAUAUUGGGCGAUGGGCGCAAGCCUGAUCCAGCCAUGCCGCGUGCAGGAUGACGGUCCUAUGGAUUGUAAACUGCUUUUGUACGAGAAGAAACACUGCUUCGUGAAGCAGCUUGACGGUAUCGUAAGAAUAAGGAUCGGCUAACUCCGUGCCAGCAGCCGCGGGUAAUACGGAGGAUCCAAGCGUUAUCCGGAAUCAUUGGGUUUAAAGGGUCCGUAGGCGGUUUAGUAAGUCAAGUGGUGAAAGCCCAUCGCUCAACGGUGGAACGGCCAUUGAUACUGCUGAACUUGAAUUAUUAGGAAGUAACUAGAAUAUGUAGUGUAGCGGUGAAAUGCUUAGAGAUUACAUGGAAUACCAAUUGCGAAGGCAGGGUUACUACUAAUU